rnacentral:rRNA from 1 species
UACGUAGGGUGCAAGCGUUAAUCGGAAUUACUGGGCGUAAAGCGUGCGCAGGCGGUUUUUCAAGACAGAUGUGAAAUCCCCGGGCUUAACCUGGGAAUUGCAUUUGUGACUGCACGGCUAGAGUGUGUCAGAGGGGGGUAGAAUUCCACGUGUAGCAGUGAAAUGCGUAGAUAUGUGGAGGAAUACCGAUGGCGAAGGCAGCCCCCUGGGGUAACACUGACGCUCAUGCACGAAAGCGUGGGGAGCAAACAGG